rnacentral:rRNA from 2 species
AGAGUUUGAUCCUGGCUCAGAUUGAACGCUGGCGGCAUGCCUUACACAUGCAAGUCGAACGGCAGCACGGGAGCAAUCCUGGUGGCGAGUGGCGAACGGGUGAGUAAUGUAUCGGAACGUACCUUUCAGUGGGGGAUAACGUAGCGAAAGUUACGCUAAUACCGCAUAUUCUGUGAGCAGGAAAGCAGGGGAUCUUAGGACCUUGCGCUGAUUGAGCGGCCGAUAUCAGAUUAGCUAGUUGGUGGGGUAAAAGCUCACCAAGGCGACGAUCUGUAGCGGGUCUGAGAGGAUGAUCCGCCACACUGGAACUGAGACACGGUCCAGACUCCUACGGGAGGCAGCAGUGGGGAAUUUUGCGCAAUGGGGGAAACCCUGACGCAGCAACGCCGCGUGAGUGAUGAAGGCCUUCGGGUCGUAAAGCUCUGUCAGAGGGGAAGAAGUGUAUGGAUGCUAAUACCAUCUAUACUUGACGGUACCCUCAAAGGAAGCACCGGCUAACUCCGUGCCAGCAGCCGCGGUAAUACGGAGGGUGCAAGCGUUGUUCGGAUUUAUUGGGCGUAAAGCGCGUGUAGGCGGUUUUUUAAGUCUGAUGUGAAAGCCCUGGCUCAACCCAGGAAGUGCAUUGGAAACUGGAAGACUUGAAUACGGGAGAGGGUAGUGGAAUUCCUAGUGUAGGAGUGAAAUCCGUAGAUAUUAGGAGGAACACCGGUGGCGAAGGCGGCUACCUGGACCGAUAUUGACGCUGAGACGCGAAAGCGUGGGGAGCAAACAGGAUUAGAUACCCUGGUAGUCCACGCCGUAAACGAUGAGAACUAGGUGUUGCGGGUAUUGACCCCUGCAGUGCCGCAGCUAACGCAUUAAGUUCUCCGCCUGGGAAGUACGGUCGCAAGACUAAAACUCAAAUGAAUUGACGG